CGGCAGCACAGCAAUAGCAAUACUGUGGGUGGCGAGUGGCGGACGGGUGAGUAAUGCAUCGGGACCUACCUAGACGUGGGGGAUAACGUAGGGAAACUUACGCUAAUACCGCAUACGUCCUACGGGAGAAAGCAGGGGAUCUUCGGACCUUGCGCGGUUAGACGGACCGAUGUUCGAUUAGCUAGUUGGUAGGGUAAUGGCCUACCAAGGCGACGAUCGAUAGCUGGUCUGAGAGGAUGAUCAGCCACACUGGAACUGAGACACGGUCCAGACUCCUACGGGAGGCAGCAGUGGGGAAUAUUGGACAAUGGGCGCAAGCCUGAUCCAGCAAUGCCGCGUGUGUGAAGAAGGCCUUCGGGUUGUAAAGCACUUUUAUCAGGAGCGAAAUGCCAUUGGUUAAUACCCGGUGGAGCUGACGGUACCUGAGGAAUAAGCACCGGCUAACUUCGUGCCAGCAGCCGCGGUAAUACGAAGGGUGCAAGCGUUAAUCGGAAUUACUGGGCAUAAAGCGUGCGUAGGCGGUUUGUUAAGUCUGUUGUGAAAUCCCCGGGCUCAACCUGGGAAUGGCAAUGGAUACUGGCAAGCUAGAGUGUGAUAGAGGAUGGUGGAAUUCCCGGUGUAGCGGUGAAAUGCGUAGAGAUCGGGAGGAACAUCAGUGGCGAAGGCGGCCAUCUGGAUC
rnacentral:rRNA from 1 species